UACGUAGGGUGCGAGCGUUGUCCGGAAUUACUGGGCGUAAAGAGCUCGUAGGUGGUUUGUCGCGUUGUUCGUGAAAACCGGGGGCUUAACCCUCGGCGUGUGGGCGAUACGGGCAGACUUGAGUACUGCAGGGGAGACUGGAAUUCCUGGUGUAGCGGUGGAAUGCGCAGAUAUCAGGAGGAACACCGGUGGCGAAGGCGGGUCUCUGGGCAGUAACUGACGCUGAGGAGCGAAAGCGUGGGGAGCGAACAGG
rnacentral:rRNA from 1 species